rnacentral:misc_RNA from 1 species
GAUGAAGAACGUAGCGAAAUGCGAUAAGUAAUGUGAAUUGCAGAAUUCAGUGAAUCAUCGAAUCUUUGAACGCACAUUGCGCCCCUUGGUAUUCCGAGGGGCAUACCUGUUCGAGCGUCAUUAUAACCCCUCAAGCUCAGCUUGGUGUUGGGGCCUGCCGCACGGGCAGCCCUUAAAAUCAGUGGCGGUGCUAUCUGGCUCUAAGCGUAGUAAUUCUUCUCGCUAUAGAGUCCCGGUGGAUGCUUGCCAUUAACCCCCAAUUUUCUAUGGUUGACCUCGGAUCAGGUAGGGAUACCCGCUGAACUUAAGCAUAUCAAUAAGCGGAGGA